AUUGAACGCUGGCGGCAUGCCUAACACAUGCAAGUCGAGCGAGCGGCGGACGGGUGAGUAAUGCCUGGGAAUUGCCAAGUCGAGGGGGAUGACAGUUGGAACUGACAGCUAAUACCGCAUACGACUGUCUUGCUCAGGGGGGAUUAGCUAGUUGGUGAGGUAAUGGCGCACCAAGGCGACGAUCCCUAGCCGGUCUGAGAGGUUGAUCAGCCAGACUGGAACUGAGACACGGUCCAGACUCCUACGGGAGGCAGCAGUGGGGAAUAUUACACAAUGGGGGAAACCCUGAUGCAGCCAGGCCGCGUGUGUGAAGAAGGCCUUCGGGUUGUAAAGCACUUUCAGCGAGGAGGCGUUACUCACAGAAGAAGCAACGGCUAACUCCGUGCCAGCAGCCGCGGUAAUAC
rnacentral:rRNA from 1 species